GUCCACUCAUUACAAUAAAUGGUUGACUGGUUGUACAGAAUUAGCUCACGAAAAGUAAGAUGUCAGCAAUUGAAAUAAAAGUAAGAUGUCAGCAAGUGAAAAAGAAAUGAGUAAGGGGACCUAAUUAAGUUGCUUGAACAUAUGUAGAGAUGGAGCCUCGUUUUUUACCAAGUCCACCCGACAGAGGCCGACGACCCUCUUCCCGUCCAGCAAACGCGCCAAGUUCGAAAAUAUCGACAUACAUGCUUAGCUAGCUAUACAACAGAGCUACAA
rnacentral:lncRNA from 1 species